rnacentral:rRNA from 1 species
CAGCAGCCACGGGAAUACGGAGGGUGCAAGCGUUAUCCGGAUUUAUUGGGUUUAAAGGGUCCGUAGGCGGAUCUGUAAGUCAGUGGUGAAAUCUCACAGCUUAACUGUGAAACUGCCAUUGAUACUGCAGGUCUUGAGUAAAUUUGAAGUGGCUGGAAUAAGUAGUGUAGCGGUGAAAUGCAUAGAUAUUACUUAGAACACCAAUUGCGAAGGCAGGUCACUAAGAUUUAACUGACGCUGAUGGACGAAAGCGUGGGGAGCGAACAGGAUUAGAUACCCGAGUAGUCCCUGUCUCUUAUAU